UACGUGGGGUGCAAGCGUUGUCCGGAAUUAUUGGGCGUAAAGAGCUCGUAGGCGGUUCGUCGCGUCGGCUGUGAAAACCCGGAGCUCAACUCCGGGCCUGCAGUCGAUACGGGCGGACUAGAGUUCGGCAGGGGAGACUGGAAUUCCUGGUGUAGCGGUGAAAUGCGCAGAUAUCAGGAGGAACACCGGUGGCGAAGGCGGGUCUCUGGGCCGAUACUGACGCUGAGGAGCGAAAGCGUGGGGAGCGAACAGG
rnacentral:rRNA from 1 species